rnacentral:misc_RNA from 1 species
AGUUUAAGAUGUUUUACAUCAGAUACAUUCAGGUUUUUAAAAUGAUUUUGUGUGAAAGUAGACGGGUCGCCGAAGCUCCCCAUCUCACAGGUGCACAGGUGUGUGUGGAUGAAGGAGAGGCGUGCACAUGCAAAUUAAUGCCAGCACAACCAGCUCCAAGUUCAUUCAGUAAUGAUCCUUCCGCAGGUUCACCUACGGAAA